rnacentral:rRNA from 1 species
UACGUAGGGUUCAAGCGUUAUCCGGAAUCACUGGGCGUAAAGCGUGCGUAGGUGGCGUGUUAAGUGCAAUGCGAAAUCCUGUGGCUCAACCAUAUGGACUGUAUUGCAUACUGGCAUGCUAGAGGACGGGCAGAGGCAAGUGGAAUUACCGGUGUAGCAGUGAAAUGCGUAGAGAUCGGUAGGAACACCAAUGGCGAAGGCAGCUUGCUGGGCCGACCCUGACGCUA